AUGACUUGCGUUAGUGAGGCCAGGGGAAGAGAAGAUGGGAACGUGGUCAAGGUCUGUGGACGACGCUCCGUAUUUCCUUUGAGUGACUCCAAGGCCCUGCCCGCGGUUAGGCGGGGACCCAGUAGCCGAGGUCACUGUGCCUUCCCCAUCACCGUCUCCUGUCCCAGCUGGAGUCUGCAACCUCGGCCAGCCUGUCUCAGGUGCGACACGCAGUCUGUCCCCAACGACCUGGUGUCCCCGGAGAGUGGGGUAGCAGCCUGCCCCCACCCACACACAAGGGAUCCCGCAGGCCUCCCACGCCUCUCCAACGUUGGGGAAGACCCCGUUGUCCCCUUAAGGGAGCUCGGUGUUUCAAAGCACAGCCGGGAAGUUAUCUGCCGGCGACUGGACCCGGGAUUUGAAAACGAAAACUUCACACCUCAAACACGCCGAGCAGGACGCUGGGCGCCCGGCUGGCUCCAGGGUCCAGGUGGGGAGGUGGCGCGCCGCACUAGGCGGGGCGAGGCCCAGGCGCCGAGCGGCCGGCAGGGGGCUCCCCGCGCCGGGCUUCGCGGGAGGAAGCGGCGGCAGCGGCUCGGACGGGUCGAAAGAGGAAAAGGGAAAAUUACUGGGGCUGGGGGGUGGGAAGGGCUGCGUGGCCAGGAGGAAGGCACCGGAGGCUGUCGGGCCGGGCCGCCAAGGUGCGGACCCGUCCCCGCAGCGGCGCGGGCAGCCCGGGAGAGGGGCGCCCGGGUCGCCCCCAGCCCCGCCCGCCGCCUUCCCGCCGGUGCCGCAGGCAGGAGCGGGGCGUCGCGGCCCGGGGGCGGCGCCGCCGAGGGGCGGGCGGAGGGCGGGCCGGGGCGGGGCGCUGUCCGCUCGGCUCGGGGAGGCGGUGCAGUCGGGCGCUGGCCGCGUCCGCCCGCCGAGAGCCACGGGGCGCGCAGUCUUCCUGAUGUGUCACCAGCACGUGGAGCCAGGUCGGGCCGCGCCAGCCGGCAGAACCCCCCCGACUUUCGAGGGGUCUCGCCGCCGUGCGCCUCUCGCCUUGCAUUGGGCGCGCCCCGCCCGCGGAGGGGCCCCCCAGGUCUCGAGCAGGGCGAGCGAGGCCACGGUCCCGAGCCCCUGGCCAGGCGCACACGGGGCGUCCAGGACGUCGGGGCCCGGUGUGCGGUGACACCCUCUGUGCCCCAGCGGCGACACGGGUUUGUCCAUGCGCGAGGGCGCGGCCUGCGGCGAGAGGCGCCCGCGGCUCGACCGGGCCCCGGCCCCGCGCCCCGCCGAGCUGAACGCAGGGCCAACUUUACCUCGAAUCCAGAACCAGACAUGGAGACAACAAAAAGAGAAAACUGUAGGACAAUUUCUUUGAUGAAGACGGAUGCAGAAGUUCCCAGUGAAAUACCAGCAAAUUGAACCCAAAACACAUCAGAAAGAGCCCUCACGCUCACCAAGUGAGAUGGAUCCCAGCAGUGCAAGGAGGGUUCAGCACACACGCAUUGGGGACGUCAUCCUUGUCAACAGAAUGAAGAAUGAAAAUCGUGAUUCCUCAAGAGAUGAAGGAAAGUAUUGAAUAAAAUUCAACAUCCAUUCCUGAUUUUAAAAACGAACCUUGAACACAUUAAACAUAGAAGAAAACACCUCAGCAUAACACAGGCUGCAUCGGAGAAACCAAGCCAGUAUUCACGUUUCCUUUAAGAUCUGGAACUGGACAAAGGUGUCCACUCUUACCGCUCUUAUUCAGUAUAGUAUUGGAAGCUUUAAAACAAUUAGGGAAGGAAAUAAAAGGCAUGCAAAUAAGGAAAAUAAGAAGCCAAAGUAUCUCUGUUUGCAGAUGACACGAUUCUAUAUAAAGAAACCCAAAGAUUCCACCAGGAGACUAAAAACUCAUAACAAAUUCAAUAAAAUUGCAGGAUACACAACAUGCAAAAAUCAGCAUUUUUAUACACCAAUGGCAAACGUGCUGAGAAAGAAAUUAAAAGAGCAGUCUCAUUUACAAUAGCUAUCACUAUCAACACUAGUCACCACCUGCUUGGGAUAAAUCUAACCAGGGAUGUAAAACCCGAGCCAGUUACGAAACGCUGAUGAAGGAAACUGGACAAGAUGGAGAAGUGGCAGGACUUCUCGAGUUCAUGGAAUGGAAGAAUUGGCAUCGGAAUGUCCAUUCUACCCAAAGUGACUUACAGACUCAACACAUUCUCCACCAGAAUACCAGUGAUCUUCGCAGGUCAGAACAUGCCACCCUAAAAUGCACAUGGAAGUAAGAAAGACUCCAUAGCCAAAGCAGCCUUAGGCAGAAUGACCACCACUAGAUUUCAGGACUUACUACAGAGCUAUUGUAACCCAAACAGCAUGGUACUGACAUGAAAACAGGCACUAGGACCAAAUACGUGCCAGAAAUGAAUCCACAAACCCACACCAACUUAACUUUGACAAAGGUUCCUAAAACAUUCACUGGAAAAAAAGACAAUGGCUCUCAACAAUGGUGCUGGGAAAACGCUAUCCAUAUGCAGAAGACUGCACUCCCUGCACCUGUCACUCUUUACAGAAAUCAAAAUGGAUCAGAGAUGAAAAUGUAACAUCUAGGGGCAGGUGUUGCAGAGCAUUGGUUAAGCUGCCACUCCGUGUCCCAUACUGGAGUGCCUGGGACUGCGUCCCGCCUCCUCUUCCCAUCCAGCUUCCUGCUAAUGAUUACCCUGGGAGGCAGCAGAUGAUGGCUAAGGUACUUGGUUCCCUGCCAAGCACAAGGGAGACCCGGACUGAAUUCCUGGCUGCGGCCUGGCCCGUGCCUGGCUAUUGCAGGCAUUUAUGGAGUGAACCAGAGGGUGGAAGAUCUAACCUCUGUCUCCACCUUUCAAAUAAAUAAAAAUGAAUAAACUUAAUAAAGAUAA